AUUGAACGCUGGCGAAAUGCUUUACACAUGCAAGUCGAACGGCAGCACGGGGGCAACCCUGGUGGCGAGUGGCGAACGGGUGAGUAAUACAUCGGAACGUGCCCAGUCGUCGGGGAUCACGUAGCGAAAGUUACGCUAAUACCGCAUACGAUCUCAGGAUGAAAGCGGGGGACCGUAAGGCCUCGCGCGAUUGGAGCGGCUGAUGUCAGAUCAGGUAGUUGGUGAGGUAAAGGCUCACCAAGCCUGCGAUCUGUAGCUGGUCUGAGAGGACGACCAGCCACACUGGGACUGAGACACGGCCCAGACUCCUACGGGAGGCAGCAGUGGGGAAUUUUGGACAAUGGGCGCAAGCCUGAUCCAGCCAUUCCGCGUGCAGGACGAAGGCCUUCGGGUUGUAAACUGCUUUUGUACGGAACGAAAAGCCUUGGGCUAAUACCCCGAGGUCAUGACGGUACCGUAAGAAUAAGCACCGGCUAACUACGUGCCAGCAGCCGCGGUAA
rnacentral:rRNA from 1 species